GUAAUGUAAGUCGCCAUGCAAGACCGUAUUUGUUGCCUGGGUGUUUACUUGGAUUACAGGACAUCUCUUGCUUUCAGCAAAAUGAUUCUGCAAAGCAGUAAAUCUUGGGGUUAGGCUGCCACAGACAUAAUUUCUCCUGAACAUUUGCAAUUUUGCAAGCUUGAGUUCUACAGUUUCAUCUUUGGUUAAACACCAUGAACUAUUCUUUCUCCAAAGCUUAACUCCCUUGGCCGUUAAUGAUUUCGCCUGGACAAUUGCAUGGUUUGGUUCAAUCAUUUGACUCCGCACCUUGAUUUGCUACGGAAGCUGAAGUGGAAAUGCGAUUCUCAGGAGCCAGAAUGGAUAAUGGCAGUUGUUGUCUUGUGCCACAUGCAGACAGUAAACUUUUGGAUCUGAAUUGAUAAGAUUUUGCAGAAGAAACUUGUUUUCUCAUAAUGAUCAAAGGGCUCUGCAGUUUUCUUUUUUCCUACAACCUAUACCAAUCUACUUCACAUACAUUUAGGAGCUGCAAACAGUGACCUGCUGACUAACUCCUACAGAUGGUGCCACACAGCUUGCAUAGUGGCAUGGCACUGCCAUGGUGCUCAGGAAUGCCUUUUCUACAUCUGCAGAGGCACCUCUUUUGAGCAGGCACAUGGCGUACUCCAUGACCGUGGCAUCACAAGGGAGAGUGAUCCGCCCAUCGCUCGUGAAGCCAAACUCUUCCUGGGACAUCCACAGGAGCUCCUCGAAGAUCGUCUUGCCAAGGUAUGCCAAUGGCACCUCAAACCGUGCCCCGUCGGCCGUAUACACCACACAGUGGCCCUUGCCUGCCACAGAAGCGCAGCACUCGUCGUCUUCCUUUGCCAUCCCCCAAGUGAGGUGCUUCCUUCCGAGUGCUGCCAUUCUCUGCCACUUCUUGGUCAGCUGAGCAAUCCUCUUGGCACUGAUCAUGGUUAGUUCUUUCUUUCUUCUCUCUGGCUAGAGACUGGAGAGCUCUGAUUUGAGUUUGCAAUGCUUUGUCUGUGAAGCUGCAAGUGGUGGUGUUUAGAGGACACUUGAGCAUGAACAUAUAGCUGAAGGAAAUAGUAGGGAGUCCAGUCAAGUGAGGUGAUUGGCAAGGGACAAGGCCAUGAGCAUGGUACGUGCAUACGUUUUGGGUCAUAUUUUGAUGGGACCAAGUGUUUGGUGUUUGCCGGAGCCAGUCGUAGUGCGCCUUCGGUGCUUGGAUUGGGCACCACCUAUGCAGCCAUACUGAGCGGUUUAGCCAGGAAGCGGCACGAGGACCCCAUGUUAAUUGGGACGAACGUGAAUUGAGAGGGCCAGACUAAUUCAGCUAGCUGUUGUGCAAUCAGAUAUUGGCAGAGCUGACAUUGCAGUGCUACACCGUUGAGGGAUACUGCAAUCAAUUGGAGCAGCACAUGUUUGGGGAGUCAUUCCUAGUCUUCUUUGCUCCUUAUGUGCUCCAUCUCUACAUGUGCCUUUUCUGUAGAAGGGUCAUACAUGCAAAUUUCCGAACAAGGGUGAUUGCAUUUCAAUACGAGUUCUCUUUGUUGGGUGAUUGUUUCAGAGGUUCAGGUCCUCCACGUUGAACUAAAUGAUGUAUACAUCAUAUACUGCUUACUGUAUAGUCAGUAUAGCUGCCUCAUUUUCAGUAUUGUGAUUCGUACAUCAAGAAUGAAACCAGGCACUCCCCACAGGAAAAUACAGACAAGGAAAAUGGAUUGAAGAUUCAAUCAGAAGACAUGCUGCAAAAGUGCAAAUAAAAUUGAAAGUUGCACUCUGGCUACAGAAGCAAGUUGCCUGAUUGAAGACCAAUAAAUAAUAAUGAGUGUAUGACCAGUGCCGCAAGGAUAUGAGCAUGCAUAGCACAUCCGGACACGGUGAUAUGGAGGGCUGGGCCAUGAACAUGCCUCAGAGCAGAACUAUGUGUUUUGGUUGUCUAUCAUGGAAUGCUGAUUAUCAGCUGGUUGCCUAGUUGCAAUCUUGUAGGUCCAUGAAAGAAGAAGCAACGAAAUGGACUUCACAUGAGAUGCCAGUAGUUCAAUGGACCACCAGCUGAAGAAGUGAUAUGAAGUUGUUGAGCAAGUUGUGUGGAGCGCUGAACAUGCUUAAUCUGGUCGUUCAGAUACAAUGUGUUAUGGGCAUGGCCACCUGUUAGAUGAAGUAUCUCAAUCUGAUAUCUCAUUGCAUAUCGCAUAAUCUCAGGCAGAACUGAUCCUGACACAUUGGACCCAAUUUACAUGUGGCCCCAUGAGGCAUGCCUCUUAGACAGAGCCGGUCAGUAUGGCAGCAGAUUGUGAUAACGCUACUAAUAGUGGCUCCAACAAGUGUCAAACAGAUGGCCCGGAGAAAUCCAAACAAAACCACAUUGCUUUGUCUUGCAACACUGCAUGUUCUGUGCUCAUGGCCUUGUCUCUUGCCAGACUGAUUAGAUAGCCGCACUGGAACUGCAUGCAUCUCUUUCUCCUCACCUUUAUAAAUCUACCAGAUUCGCACCAACACUUGAUCAGUCGAUCAACAAGUCAAGCAUCACACCUAGUUGAAUACUACCUGAUACAAACAAAGAUUUUCUGAACUUUCAGCCAGAAAAGGAGGAUAUCGAAGCAGCCAU